GUAGUCGUGGCCAAGUGAGUAAGGCAAUGGACUAGAAAUCCAUUGGGGUCUCCCAGCACAGGUUCAAAUCCUGCUGACUAUG
rfam:Mus musculus chromosome X, GRC primary reference assembly.